rnacentral:rRNA from 1 species
UACGUAGGGCGCAAGCGUUGUCCGGAAUUAUUGGGCGUAAAGAGCUCGUAGGCGGCCUGUUGCGUCCGCUGUGAAAUCCCGGGGCUCAACCCCGGGCCUGCAGUGGAUACGGGCUGGCUGGAGGCAGGCAGGGGAGAACGGAAUUCCUGGUGUAGCGGUGAAAUGCGCAGAUACCAGGAGGAACACCGGUGGCGAAGGCGGUUCUCUGGGCCUGUUCUGACGCUGAGGAGCGAAAGCGUGGGGAGCGAACAGG